rnacentral:rRNA from 1 species
UACGGGGGGGGUAAGCGUUGUUCGGAAUUACUGGGCGUAAAGGGCUCGUAGGCGGCCAACUAAGUCAGACGUGAAAUCCCUCAGCUUAACUGGGGAACUGCGUCUGAUACUGGAUGGCUUGGAUUCGGGAGAGGAAUGCGGAAUUCCAGGUGUAGCGGUGAAAUGCGCAGAUAUCAGGAGGAACACCGGUGGCGAAGGCGGUUCUCUGGGCCUUACCUGACACUGAGGAGCGAAAGCGUGGGGAGCGAACAGG